rnacentral:rRNA from 1 species
GUAGCUUGCUACCUGCCGGCGAGUGGCGAACGGGUGAGUAAUACAUCGGAACGUGCCCUGUAGUGGGGGAUAACUAGUCGAAAGACUAGCUAAUACCGCAUACGACCUGAGGGUGAAAGUGGGGGACCGCAAGGCCUCAUGCUAUAGGAGCGGCCGAUGUCUGAUUAGCUAGUUGGUGGGGUAAAGGCCCACCAAGGCGACGAUCAGUAGCUGGUCUGAGAGGACGAUCAGCCACACUGGGACUGAGACACGGCCCAGACUCCUACGGGAGGCAGCAGUGG